UCCCUGGAGGACUAGUGGUUAGGCCACAGGGCGCUCACUGCUGCAGCCCGGGUUCGACCCCCAGGCAGGGAA